AGCUGCUGAGUGGUUUUCUGGAGAGUCCACAUUGUAGUCUGGAGACUCUGAGAUGGAAGUGAUCAGCUGAGUGCUGAUGAUCCAUCUGGAGACGGACUCCACCUGGAUUUGAUUUAGUCGACCACACAGCAGAAGACUUUUAAAAGACCAGAAGAAGAAGAUGUCCAAGACACAACAACAUGUGUGUGUGUGUCAACUUUAUGAUCCAACAGACAAGUUUUUAUUUUCUGCAGAAAUAAUAAUCAAAUAUUAAUUUACAAUACCGAUUUAUAAAGCUCAUUAUAAUAUGAUAUUUUAGUAAUUAUGAGAAAAAUUUAAAGUAAUAAAUACAGUGAGAGACUGUUCCAAUAGAGUGCUAUGAUCUCUGUGGUUGACCUUUGCUCUGCAUCCUUCCAGGAGAUAAUCAUCCUGAAAGUGCUUUUCUUUUCUAGGCGAACCUGAAAAUUCAAUUUUUGCUGUGUUUGAUCUUUAUUUACUCUUAACCAGUAACAAAUAUACCAUUAAAGCUGCAAGCAGCGAUGGGUCCUCGUUCCGCCUUCACGUCGGGGGUGCUGGCCGGUCGCCGGCUCAAGCGUCCCAGCAUACACAUAUUCCCGGGCAGCAGAACAAGGAAGUGUCUAUAUACUUACUGGUCUCUGCAGUAUCGAUUACCCAUCUCUGGAACAGAUAUUCUAUUUCUUAUAUUGAGAGUUCUAUGAUUAAGGUGUUUUUACGCUGCAGACCGCAUAACGGGAGCAGCUGACUUGGUGGUAGAGUCUCUAUAUAGUGUGUGCACUCUAGAAUAUAAUCUAUGUGUGAUGUAUGUAUUUGAUAUACUCUGUACUACAAUGCCAUUCUUUUUUAAGUCUUGUACUGAUGUGUACUAUUGAGAGGUCACUGUUGUAUCCUUGAUUGUCUUAAGCUGUAUGAGCAGGUGUUGCCAACUGAGUCCGGAGUUUCUGUGAAAAUUGAUAUCAAACAAUUCAAGUCAUAAAUUAAGGAGCUUCUCCCAAAGAUUAAGAAAGGGGGAGAUAUGGGUCCCUGAGGAUAAGGUCACUGCAGCCUGGGAAGGAGGAGGAUGGGGCCCAGCUUAUCCCCCGGACGGUCAAAAGUUAAAGGAGAGGUCUUCGUUUUGGUUUUCUAAACCGAUACAGCCCGUCAGAUAUUGAUUUUUCAAAUCUCCGCACUUUGUGGCGAACACUUUACGCAUUAGCUAGAAUUUCACUUAUUUGUUAAUCCUUUUUCACUCUUGUGUUAAAUAAAUAAAUACAUACUGCAUUGCAGUUUAAUUAAUGAAUGAAGUCGUUUUCCAGCCUUUUCUGAGCCAUCACUUCAUCAGUUCCGACUGACGUCGUCAUCAGCCCCUGAGGUGAGUUGAGCUACAUCCCCACGGCUACACAAACUGAUACGGACACACUUAUUCCCUGCACACAUUUGGCUUUGAAAGGAGAGAAAUACCACUGGGGGGACCCCUGACUUUCAGUCGGACUUCUUUUUGUCUACAGGUUGUCUACAGGCUUCAGGGUUUGUCACAAAGUAUUAAGUCUGAGUGUUUGAUCCGAUCCCUAUCCGGCCGUUAUAGCUAUGAAUAAAUAACGACGGUGUACACUUUACCUGGUUGGGUUAGAAUAUUCCUAACGCUAAUUAAAAACCAGGUUUCUCUCCGGGGAGGUCAUCCGAGGCACGAACGGGGUGCCGCGUGACCGUGCGGCGCAGUUGACGACAGUGUCACGGUGCACAGGCUUCCAGGGCAACGAUCCUGGAGUAACCCCCUUUUUACUCCUCCACUGCCGCUGUGCACGACAAUAGAUGACAAUAGAGAUCAUGCAGAUUAUUGAUAUUAGGGGAUAGGAAUGUAUGUUUUAGGGUAUUGCACAUAAGUAUUGCACUCUGCUAUUCUCUAUUACCAGGUUGUUCCAGCAGCC